GCUGGCGGCAUGCCUUACACAUGCAAGUCGAACGGCAGCACGGGUGCUUGCACCUGGUGGCGAGUGGCGAACGGGUGAGUAAUACAUCGGAACAUGUCCUGUAGUGGGGGAUAGCCCGGCGAAAGCCGGAUUAAUACCGCAUACGAUCUACGGAUGAAAGCGGGGGACCUUCGGGCCUCGCGCUAUAGGGUUGGCCGAUGGCUGAUUAGCUAGUUGGUGGGGUAAAGGCCUACCAAGGCGACGAUCAGUAGCUGGUCUGAGAGGACGACCAGCCACACUGGGACUGAGACACGGCCCAGACUCCUACGGGAGGCAGCAGUGGGGAAUUUUGGACAAUGGGCGAAAGCCUGAUCCAGCAAUGCCGCGUGUGUGAAGAAGGCCUUCGGGUUGUAAAGCACUUUUGUCCGGAAAGAAAUCCUUGGCUCUAAUACAGUCGGGGGAUGACGGUACCGGAAGAAUAAGCACCGGCUAACUACGUGCCAGCAGCCGCGGUAAUACGUAGGGUGCGAGCGUUAAUCGGAAUUACUGGGCGUAAAGCGUGCGCAGGCGGUUUGCUAAGACCGAUGUGAAAUCCCCGGGCUCAACCUGGGAACUGCAUUGGUGACUGGCAGGCUAGAGUAUGGCAGAGGGGGGUAGAAUUCCACGUGUAGCAGUGAAAUGCGUAGAGAUGUGGAGGAAUACCGAUGGCGAAGGCAGCCCCCUGGGCCAAUACUGACGCUCAUGCACGAAAGCGUGGGGAGCAACAGGAUUAGAUACCCUGGUAGUCCACGCCCUAAACGAUGUCAACUAGUUGUUGGGGAUUCAUUUCCUUAGUAACGUAGCUAACGCGUGAAGUUGACCGCCUGGGGAGUACGGUCGCAAGAUUAAAACUCAAAGGAAUUGACGGGGACCCGCACAAGCGGUGGAUGAUGUGGAUUAAUUCGAUGCAACGCGAAAAACCUUACCUACCCUUGACAUGGUCGGAAUCCCGCUGAGAGGUGGGAGUGCUCGAAAGAGAACCGGCGCACAGGUGCUGCAUGGCUGUCGUCAGCUCGUG
rnacentral:rRNA from 1 species